rnacentral:rRNA from 1 species
UACGUAGGGGGCAAGCGUUGUCCGGAUUUAUUGGGCGUAAAGAGCGUGUAGGCGGCUUCACAGGUCCGCUGUGAAAACUCGAGGCUCAACCUCGAGCUGUCGGUGGAAACCGUGUGGCUAGAGUCCGGAAGAGGAGAGUGGAAUUCCCGGUGUAGCGGUGAAAUGCGCAGAUAUCGGGAAGAACACCCGUGGCGAAGGCGAGUCCCUGGACAACUCCUGACACUGAGGCACGAAAGCUAGGGGAGCAAACAGG